GAUGAACGCUGGCGGCGUGCCUAAUACAUGCAAGUCGAGCGAAUGGAUUAAGAGCUUGCUCUUAUGAAGUUAGCGGCGGACGGGUGAGUAACACGUGGGUAACCUGCCCAUAAGACUGGGAUAACUCCGGGAAACCGGGGCUAAUACCGGAUAACAUUUUGAACCGCAUGGUUCGAAAUUGAAAGGCGGCUUCGGCUGUCACUUAUGGAUGGACCCGCGUCGCAUUAGCUAGUUGGUGAGGUAACGGCUCACCAAGGCAACGAUGCGUAGCCGACCUGGGAGGGUGAUCGGCCACACGGGGACGGAGACACGGCCCAGACUCCUACGGGAGGCAGCAGUAGGGAAUCUUCCGCAAUGGACGAAAGUCUGACGGGGCAACGCCGCGUGAGUGAUGAAGGCUUUCGGGUCGUAAAACUCUGUUGUUAGGGAAGAACAAGUGCUAGUUGAAUAAGCUGGCACCUUGACGGUACCUAACCAGAAAGCCACGGCUAACUACGUGCCAGCCGCCGCCGUAA
rnacentral:rRNA from 1 species